rnacentral:rRNA from 1 species
CGGGGUGAGUAACGCGUGGAUAACCUGCCUCACACUGGGGGAUAACAGUUAGAAAUGACUGCUAAUACCGCAUAAGCGCACAGUACCGCAUGGUACAGUGUGAAAAACUCCGGUGGUGUGAGAUGGAUCCGCGUCUGAUUAGCCAGUUGGCGGGGUAACGGCCCACCAAAGCGACGAUCAGUAGCCGACCUGAGAGGGUGACCGGCCACAUUGGGACUGAGACACGGCCCAA